rnacentral:rRNA from 1 species
UUAAGUUGCAAGGUAUAGACCCGAAACCCGGUGAUCUAGCCAUGGGCAGGUUGAAGGUUGGGUAACACUAACUGGAGGACCGAACCGACUAAUGUUGAAAAAUUAGCGGAUGACUUGUGGCUGGGGGUGAAAGGCCAAUCAAACCGGGAGAUAGCUGGUUCUCCCCGAAAGCUAUUUAGGUAGCGCCUCGUGAAUUCAUCUCCGGGGGUAGAGCACUGUUUCGGCAAGGGGGUCAUCCCGACUUACCAACCCGAUGCAAACUGCGAAUACCGGAGAAUGUUAUCACGGGAGACACACGGCGGGUGCUAACGUCCGUCGUGAAGAGGGAAACAACCCAGACCGCCAGCUAAGGUCCCAAAGUCAUGGUUAAGUGGGAAACGAUGUGGGAAGGCCCAGACAGCCAGGAUGUUGGCUUAGAAGCAGCCAUCAUUUAAAGAAAGCGUAAUAGCUCACUGGUCGAGUCGGCCUGCGCGGAAGAUGUAACGGGGCUAAACCAUGCACCGAAGCUGCGGCAGCGACGCUGAUGCGUUGUUGGGUAGGGGAGCGUUCUGUAAGCCUGUGAAGGUGUGCUGUGAGGCAUGCUGGAGGUAUCAGAAGUGCGAAUGCUGACAUAAGUAACGAUAAAGCGGGUGAAAAGCCCGCUCGCCGGAAGACCAAGGGUUCCUGUCCAACGUUAAUCGGGGCAGGGUGAGUCGACCCCUAAGGCGAGGCCGAAAGGCGUAGUCGAUGGGAAACAGGUUAAUAUUCCUGUACUUGGUGUUACUGCGAAGGGGGGACGGAGAAGGCUAUGUUGGCCGGGCGACGGUUGUCCCGGUUUAAGCGUGUAGGCUGGUUUUCCAGGCAAAUCCGGAAAACUAAGGCUGAGGCGUGAUGACGAGGCACUACGGUGCUGAAGCAACAAAUGCCCUGCUUCCAGGAAAAGCCUCUAAGCAUCAGGUAACAUCAAAUCGUACCCCAAACCGACACAGGUGGUCAGGUAGAGAAUACCAAGGCGCUUGAGAGAACUCGGGUGAAGGAACUAGGCAAAAUGGUGCCGUAACUUCGGGAGAAGGCACGCUGAUAUGUAGGUGAAGUCCCUCGCGGAUGGAGCUGAAAUCAGUCGAAGAUACCAGCUGGCUGCAACUGUUUAUUAAAAACACAGCACUGUGCAAACACGAAAGUGGACGUAUACGGUGUGACGCCUGCCCGGUGCCGGAAGGUUAAUUGAUGGGGUCAGCGCAAGCGAAGCUCUUGAUCGAAGCCCCGGUAAACGGCGGCCGUAACUAUAACGGUCCUAAGGUAGCGAAAUUCCUUGUCGGGUAAGUUCCGACCUGCACGAAUGGCGUAAUGAUGGCCAGGCUGUCUCCACCCG